rnacentral:tRNA from 1 species
AAUCCGUCGACUUUAUAAAUCGUGA